rnacentral:rRNA from 1 species
UGCGUAGGCGGCCUAGUAAGUCAGAGGUGAAAGCCCACAGCUUAACUGUGGAAUUGCCUUUGAUACUGCUAAGCUUGAAUUAGGUUGAGGUUGGCGGAAUGUGACAUGUAGCGGUGAAAUGCAUAGAUAUGUCAUAGAACACCAAUUGCGAAGGCAGCUGGCUAGACCUUAAUUGACGCUGAGGCACGAAAGCGUGGGGAGCGAACAGGAUUAGAUACCCUGGUAGUC